rnacentral:rRNA from 1 species
ACGGAGGGUGCAAGCGUUAUCCGGAUUUACUGGGUUUAAAGGGUGCGUAGGUGGGUAGGUAAGUCAGUGGUGAAAUCUUCAAGCUUAACUUGGAAACUGCCAUUGAUACUAUCUGUCUUGAAUACUCUGGAGGUAAGCGGAAUAUGUCAUGUAGCGGUGAAAUGCUUAGAUAUGACAUAGAACACCAAUUGCGAAGGCAGCUUACUACAUAGUUAUUGACACUGAGGCACGAAAGCGUGGGGAUCAAACAGGAUUAGAUACCCUGGUAGUCCACGCCCUAAACGAUGGAUACUCGACAUUAGCGAUACACAGUUAGUGUCUGAGCGAAAGCAUUAAGUAUCCCACCUGGGAAGUACGACCGCAAGGUUG